rnacentral:lncRNA from 1 species
UGGGGUUGAUUUACGUCAUUCGGAAGCCCCAGCAUCCCUUCGGAACCUCUCAGUCAUUUUUUUCUCUAUCUAUUUCUCUCCCUCCCUACUCUUUCUCCCUCAUUUCUUUCUUUAUUGUUAUCUUUCAGAGGAUCCUAGAGCCUCAGAGGUCUCGACGGUCCUCUAGUACUAGCCACUACUGGCAUCUUCGUCGGCUUUCUUUUCCUUUUCUUCCUUUCCCUCCCUCCCCCUUCUCUCUCUUUUCCUCUCCGAUUCUUCAUCUUCCCACUUUCAUUUCCAUAUCAG